AGUGAACGCUGGCGGCGUGCUUAACACAUGCAAGUCGAACGAGAACGGAAUAUAGCUUGCUAUAUUUGUCAGCUAAGUGGCGCACGGGUGAGUAAUAUAUAGAUAACCUGCCCUUAAGAAAGGAAUAACAGUUGGAAACGACUGCUAAUGCCCUAUAUGCCUUUAUUACAUAAGUAUGCAAGGGAAACGCUUUAGUGCUCAAGGAUGGGUUUGUAUGGUAUCAGCUUGUUGGUGAGGUAAUGGCUCACCAAGGCUAUGACGCCUAACUGGUUUGAGAGGAUGAUCAGUCACACUGGAACUGAGACACGGUCCAGACUCCUACGGGAGGCAGCAGUGGGGAAUAUUGCACAAUGGACGAAAGUCUGAUGCAGCAACGCCGCGUGGAGGAUGACACAUUUCGGUGCGUAAACUCCUUUUAUAUAGGAAGAUAAUGACGGUACUAUAUGAAUAAGCACCGGCUAACUCCGUGCCAGCAGCCGCAGUAA
rnacentral:rRNA from 1 species